CACCACUCAAGCCUCGCUUGGUGUUGGGCGUCUUGUCUCUAGCUUUGCUGGAGACUCGCCUUAAAGUAAUUGGCAGCCGGCCUACUGGUUUCGGAGCGCAGCACAAGUCGCACUCUCUAUCAGCAAAGGUCGAGCAUCCAUUAAGCCUUUUUUCAAC
rnacentral:misc_RNA from 1 species